GCCAGGCGUGGUGGCACACACCUGUAAUACCAGUGACUUGGGAGGCUGAGGCAGGAGGAUCACGAGUUCAAAGCCAGCCUCAGCAACAGCGAGGCACUAAGCAACUCAGUGAGACCCUGACUCUA
rnacentral:sRNA from 1 species